rnacentral:rRNA from 2 species
GCGCCUCGUGAAUUCAUCUCCGGGGGUAGAGCACUGUUUCGGCUAGGGGGCCAUCCCGGCUUACCAACCCGAUGCAAACUGCGAAUACCGGAGAAUGUUAUCACGGGAGACACACGGCGGGUGCUAACGUCCGUCGUGAAGAGGGAAACAACCCAGACCGCCAGCUAAGGUCCCAAAGUCAUGGUUAAGUGGGAAACGAUGUGGGAAGGCCCAGACAGCCAGGAUGUUGGCUUAGAAGCAGCCAUCAUUUAAAGAAAGCGUAAUAGCUCACUGGUCGAGUCGGCCUGCGCGGAAGAUGUAACGGGGCUAAACCAUGCACCGAAGCUGCGGCAGCGACACUGUGUGUUGUUGGGUAGGGGAGCGUUCUGUAAGCCUGUGAAGGUGUGUCGUGAGGC